AAAUGCAGAUUUGGGGAUUAGAUUAGAGGGUGUUUGGUCGUGAGUUUGAUAGAGGGGAAGGGUUCUUCCCUAAAGUUUCAAUCCAACACAAUCUGCCCCAAAUUACAAUGCAUUAAGCGGUGAUUUUUGUACAAGAAGCUUUUUCUAAGCUCAAUUUAGUGUUCUUGAUCAAAGGGUCAAAGAAAGGAGGGGAAUCAAGCCAAACAAGGGCAAUAGGAGCGCACGACUCCGGUAAAUCUCAUGCUUAAGGUUGGCGACUUGGAACGAACACACCACAAGGCUGAAUGCGCUUCCGAUAUCAAGAUUGUGUCAAACGGGUCAAAACUUGAAUUUCAAAGUGUUUUUGAAGUUAAAAUUUUAUACUCAUGUUAUUUUGCUAGUAGGCUAACGGUAGAUGUAAAUUUGGUUGCAUGAAUAUGAAUUCGAACCGUAAGACGAAUGUUCAAAGUUUUAUACAUGGUUCGAUCUACUCGCAGGGGUAUUUUUGUAAAAGUAUAUAUCCUUGGCAUGUAAAUCAUUAAAAUGUAUUGUUUUGAUC